rnacentral:rRNA from 1 species
AUUGAACGCUGGCGGCAUGCCUUACACAUGCAAGUCGAACGGCAGCACGGAGCUUGCUCUGGUGGCGAGUGGCGAACGGGUGAGUAAUAUAUCGGAACGUACCCUAGAGUGGGGGAUAACGUAGCGAAAGUUACGCUAAUACCGCAUACGAUCUAAGGAUGAAAGUGGGGGAUCGCAAGACCUCAUGCUCGUGGAGCGGCCGAUAUCUGAUUAGCUAGUUGGUAGGGUAAAAGCCUACCAAGGCAUCGAUCAGUAGCUGGUCUGAGAGGACGACCAGCCACACUGGAACUGAGACACGGUCCAGACUCCUACGGGAGGCAGCAGUGGGGAAUUUUGGACAAUGGGCGGAAGCCUGAUCCAGCAAUGCCGCGUGAGUGAAGAAGGCCUUCGGGUUGUAAAGCUCUUUUGUCAGGGAAGAAACGGUGGGAGCUAAUAUCUCUUGCUAAUGACGGUACCUGAAGAAUAAGCACCGGCUAACUACGUGCCAGCAGCCGCGGUAAUACGUAGGGUGCAAGCGUUAAUCGGAAUUACUGGGCGUAAAGCGUGCGCAGGCGGUUUUGUUAGUCUGAUGUGAAAUCCCCGGGCUCAACCUGGGAAUUGCAUUGGAGACUGCAAGGCUAGAAUCUGGCAGAGGGGGGUAGAAUUCCACGUGUAGCAGUGAAAUGCGUAGAUAUGUGGAGGAACACCGAUGGCGAAGGCAGCCCCCUGGGUCAAGAUUGACGCUCAUGCACGAAAGCGUGGGGAGCAAACAGGAUUAGAUACCCUGGUAGUCCACGCCCUAAACGAUGUCUACUAGUUGUCGGGUCUUAAUUGACUUGGUAACGCAGCUAACGCGUGAAGUAGACCGCCUGGGGAGUACGGUCGCAAGAUUAAAACUCAAAGGAAUUGACGGGGACCCGCACAAGCGGUGGAUGAUGUGGAUUAAUUCGAUGCAACGCGAAAAACCUUACCUACCCUUGACAUGGCUGGAAUCCUUGAGAGAUCAGGGAGUGCUCGAAAGAGAACCAGUACACAGGUGCUGCAUGGCUGUCGUCAGCUCGUGUCGUGAGAUGUUGGGUUAAGUCCCGCAACGAGCGCAACCCUUGUCAUUAGUUGCUACGAAAGGGCACUCUAAUGAGACUGCCGGUGACAAACCGGAGGAAGGUGGGGAUGACGUCAAGUCCUCAUGGCCCUUAUGGGUAGGGCUUCACACGUCAUACAAUGGUACAUACAGAGCGCCGCCAACCCGCGAGGGGGAGCUAAUCGCAGAAAGUGUAUCGUAGUCCGGAUUGUAGUCUGCAACUCGACUGCAUGAAGUUGGAAUCGCUAGUAAUCGCGGAUCAGCAUGUCGCGGUGAAUACGUUCCCGGGUCU